GCCUCGGUGGCGUAGUGGUAGCACAAGUCCGCGGUAUGAAUGAAACGCGGGUUUGACACCCGUCUGAGGUU